rnacentral:rRNA from 1 species
CCUACGGGCGGCAGCAGUGGGGAAUAUUGGACAAUGGGGGCAACCCUGAUCCAGCCAUGCCGCGUGUGUGAAGAAGGCCCUCGGGUUGUAAAGCACUUUCAGUGAGGAAGAACGCCUGGUGGUUAAUACCCAUCAGGAAAGACUUCACUCACAGAAGAAGCACCGGCUAACUCCGUGCCAGCAGCCGCGGUAAUACGGAGGGUGCGAGCGUUAAUCGGAAUUACUGGGCGUAAAGCGCGCGUAGGUGGCUUGAUAAGCCGGUUGUGAAAGCCCCGGGCUCAACCUGGGAACGGCAUCCGGAACUGUCAAGCUAGAGUGCAGGAGAGGAAGGUAGAAUUCCCGGUGUAGCGGUGAAAUGCGUAGAGAUCGGGAGGAAUACCAGUGGUGAAGGCGGCCUUCUGGACUGACACUGACACUGAGGUGCGAAAGCGUGGGUAGCAAACAGGAUUAGAUACCCGUGUAGUC